UGUAUUUGUUCUGCUCUCUUCCUUUCUCAGUCUGUAGACAGGGGAGUUCAAGGAUGCUGUUGAGAGGGAUGAUCGAGCCAUUGUGAACAAUGUAUCCAGCCAGCAAAAGUUUUCACUUCAUAAUGGGUGGAACAAAAUCUGAGGACUCCAACCUGAGACCUGUCCUCCUCAUGCCCAGAAAAUCCUGCCACCCUCGCAGCAGUAACAGCCAACACUACUGCUGCAGGUCACAGCCUGGACCUGCUGCACACAUCGCCUGCCCUUGAUCUUUUAGCAGCUGCAGUUUGACCUGAAUUGACCCUACCUGAUGCAGGCUAUGUCUGGCUCCUUCUGCCUGUAGUUAUGACCCAAAUCCCACCUACAUCACUGGUCACAGGUCACGUCUGGGGAGCAACUCUUUACACAGAUGGAUGAAGGUGUUUUGCCUGAAUGGUGUGUCAACAUGCGAUGGCGAAUAGCAUCAGAGGUGCUGCAGCUGCACCCCACGGCACAAACAUGGCCGUACCUCGAAGACAUCUUGAAGGUUUACAGCAGCAUUGAGAGCUUUAUGACGGUGAGCAACACAGGAGGAAAUCCGGUUUUGCUGCGUUUAUCUCCCAAAUGAAUUUUUAGCAAUCCUUUUUGACUCUCAACAGGAGAAAAAUGCAGGUCAGAUACACAUUGCAGUAAAUGCGCACAGACUCUGAUUCAUGUAUAUAUCUAAUAGUCAUUGUAUCAUCCAACUGUUCAGUAAUCCCUUUGACUCUAAGCAGUCACAUCACAGCUAUGGGGUUUUACAGAGGCGGUUUGGCAGCUGGGACUGGAAAGGGUUGACAGUGUCUGUGGAGUCCUCUGAGGGAUUACAGUUUGUGUGAUUUCCUUGCAUCAUCUGAGGCCACAGCUCAUCUUAAAAUAUCUGCAUUUUAUGUGCCUUUUUUGUGUGUGUGUGUGUGUGUGUCGACUCAGAUGAGCUUGAUGUGUACAUUUGGUCAAAGUCAGGGGUGUGGCUGGGCAAUAAGACCCAAACUUGAUUGAUUGUUUGUAUAUUUCAACCAUGAUAAUGGCACAUAAACUUUGUUGGAUGGACUAAAAAACCUAUUUGAGAUUCUCAACCAGGUAGUCUGUGCAAACGAUACUACUUUUAGCCCACUUCCAGCCUGAACCUCAAAUUAUUUCCCUCAGAAGCUUGGGGUAUUCCCAGGGGACAAGGCCUUCAUUUCACUCGGCUCUGCUGCCCACCUUGUGCCAGACUGAAGUGAAUAAGAGAUGGAACAAAUAUUUUCAGGAACUUGUACCUUGUAAAAAUGGUUGUUUUUAAGGAUAUGUCCUGCUCAAUAUUGAAAAAAAUGUUCUUUUCAUCUAUUUAAAAAAAAAAAGUAUAAUUACACUUAAAUGCACUGUAGGUAGAUUAAAUAUUUGAUUUAUCUGUUUGUGGUUACACAAUUUUACAUUUUCAGGAGCAUUCUUACUUUUGGUUAGAAAAAUGUUGCAAAUGAAAUUUCAAAUGACAUAAAACCACAUUUUCACUUACCACUGCUGGAAUGUGCUUUAUCAAAUUCACUACUUGACCUCAGGCCCUUUUUUUAAUAGUACAUGCAGUUUGGGGUGUGACCAUGUAUAACAUGGGU